AUCUGCUCGAGGUAGCUUGCUGGAGACAAGGCCAUCUACUCAUGAGCUGGAGACUCUCCCAACCGAGUGGCAGGAGGUGGGAGCAUGUCGGCGCUGACUUCGGAGCCGGGUAAAGUAACUGUUAUCAGGGGACACCCUAGGUGAAGCCUAGGUGAAGCCAUACAGGAGGGGAGCCGAGACUGUUUUGGGAGGGUAUUAUGCCUAUCAUGCCCAGGCUUCCUUUAUAUAUUGCCAGUGCUGAGGUUGG